rnacentral:rRNA from 1 species
AUUGAACGCUGGCGGCAUGCCUUACACAUGCAAGUCGAACGGCAGCACGGGGCAACCUGGUGGCGAGUGGCGAACGGGUGAGUAAUGCAUCGGAACGUGCCAUUGAGUAGGGGAUAACGUAGCGAAAGUUGCGCUAAUACCGCAUAUUCUGUGAGCAGGAAAGCAGGGGACCGCAAGGCCUUGCGCUCUUUGAGCGGCCGAUGUCAGAUUAGCUAGUUGGUGAGGUAACGGCUUACCAAGGCGACGAUCUGUAGCGGGUCUGAGAGGAUGAUCCGCCACACUGGAACUGAGACACGGUCCAGACUCCUACGGGAGGCAGCAGUGGGGAAUUUUGGACAAUGGGCGCAAGCCUGAUCCAGCCAUGCCGCGUGAGUGAAGAAGGCC